GGAGGAAAAGAAACCAACAGGGAUUACCUCAGUAACGGCGAGUGAAGCGGUAACAGCUCAAAUUUGAAAGCUAGCUCUUUGAGGGUUCGCAUUGUAAUUUGUAGAAGAUGCUUCGGGUGUGGCCCCGGUCUAAGUUCCUUGGAACAGGACGUCAUAGAGGGUGAGAAUCCCGUAUGUGACUGGGUGCUUUCGCUCAUGUGAAGCUCUUUCGACGAGUCGAGUUGUUUGGGAAUGCAGCUCUAAAUGGGUGGUACAUUUCAUCUAAAGCUAAAUAUUGGCCAGAGACCGAUAGCGCACAAGUAGAGUGAUCGAAAGAUGAAAAGCACUUUGGAAAGAGAGUUAAACAGUACGUGAAAUUGUUGAAAGGGAAGCGCUUGCAACCAGACUUGCGCGCUGAUGAUCAUCCGGGCUUCUGCCCGGUGCACUCGUCUGCGCUCAGGCCAGCAUCGGUUUCGGUGGUGGGAUAAAGGCCUUGGGAAUGUAGCUCCUCUCGGGGAGUGUUAUAGCCCUCGGUGCAAUGCCGCCUACCGGGACCGAGGACCGCGCUUCGGCUAGGAUGCUGGCGUAAUGGUUGUAAGCGACCCGUCUUGAAACACGGACCAAGGAGUCUAACAUCUAUGCGAGUGUUUGGGUGUCAAACCCAUACGCGUAAUGAAAGUGAACGGAGGUGAGAACCCUUAAGGGUGCAUCAUCGACCGGUCCUGAUGUCUUCGGAUGGAUCUGAGUAAGAGCAUAGCUGUUGGGACCCGAAAGAUGGUGAACUAUGCGUGAAUAGGGUGAAGCCAGAGGAAACUCUGGUGGAGGCUCGCAGCGGUUCUGACGUGCAAAUCGAUCGUCAAAUUUGCGUAUAGGGGCGAAAGACUAAUCGAACCAUCUAGUAGCUGG
rnacentral:rRNA from 1 species